rnacentral:rRNA from 1 species
CAGUCGCCACGGGAAUACAGAGGGUGCGAGCGUUAAUCGGAUUUACUGGGCGUAAAGCGUGCGUAGGCGGCUUCUUAAGUCGGAUGUGGAAUCCCUGAGCUUAACUUAGGAAUUGCAUUCGAUACUGGGAAGCUAGAGUAUGGGAGAGGAUGGUAGAAUUCCAGGUGUAGCGGUGAAAUGCGUAGAGAUCUGGAGGAAUACCGAUGGCGAAGGCAGCCAUCUGGCCUAAUACUGACGCUGAGGUACGAAAGCAUGGGGAGCAAACAGGAUUAGAUACCCCAGUAGUCCCUGUCUCUUAUAC